rnacentral:rRNA from 1 species
AUUGAACGCUGGCGGCAGGCUUAACACAUGCAAGUCGAGCGGAGAUGAGGUGCUUGCACCUUAUCUUAGCGGCGGACGGGUGAGUAAUGCUUAGGAAUCUGCCUAUUAGUGGGGGACAACAUUCCGAAAGGAAUGCUAAUACCGCAUACGUCCUACGGGAGAAAGCAGGGGAUCUUCGGACCUUGCGCUAAUAGAUGAGCCUAAGUCGGAUUAGCUAGUUGGUGGGGUAAAGGCCUACCAAGGCGACGAUCUGUAGCGGGUCUGAGAGGAUGAUCCGCCACAGUGGGACGGAGACACGGCCCAAACUCCUACGGGGGGCAGCAGUGGGGAAUAUUGGACAAGGGGGGGAACCCUGAUCCAGCCAUGCCGCGUGUGUGAAGAAGGCCUUAUGGUUGUAAAGCACUUUAAGCGAGGAGGAGGCUACUGAGACUAAUACUCUUGGAUAGUGGACGUUACUCGCAGAAUAAGCACCGGCUAACUCUGUGCCAGCAGCCGCGGUAACAC